rnacentral:rRNA from 1 species
GUCGAGGGGCAGCAUGGUCUUAGCUUGCUAAGGCCGAUGGCGACCGGCGCACGGGUGAGUAACACGUAUCCAACCUGCCGUCUACUCUUGGACAGCCUUCUGAAAGGAAGAUUAAUACAAGAUGGCAUCAUGAGUCCGCAUGUUCACAUGAUUAAAGGUAUUCCGGUAGACGAUGGGGAUGCGUUCCAUUAGAUAGUAGGCGGGGUAACGGCCCACCUAGUCUUCGAUGGAUAGGGGUUCUGAGAGGAAGGUCCCCCACAUUGGAACUGAGACACGGUCCAAACUCCUACGGGAGGCAGCAGUGAGGAAUAUUGGUCAAUGGGCGAGAGCCUGAACCAGCCAAGUAGCGUGAAGGAUGACUGCCCUAUGGGUUGUAAACUUCUUUUAUAAAGGAAUAAAGUCGGGUAUGGAUACCCGUUUGCAUGUACUUUAUGAAUAAGGAUCGGCUAACUCCGUGCCAGCAGCCGCGGUAAUACGGAGGAUCCGAGCGUUAUCCGGAUUUAUUGGGUUUAAAGGGAGCGUAGAUGGAUGUUUAAGUCAGUUGUGAAAGUUUGCGGCUCAACCGUAAAAUUGCAGUUGAUACUGGAUAUCUUGAGUGCAGUUGAGGCAGGCGGAAUUCGUGGUGUAGCGGUGAAAUGCUUAGAUAUCACGAAGAACUCCGAUUGCGAAGGCAGCCUGCUAAGCUGCAACUGACAUUGAGGCUCGAAAGUGUGGGUAUCAAACAGGAUUAGAUACCCUGGUAGUCCACACGGUAAACGAUGAAUACUCGCUGUUUGCGAUAUACUGCAAGCGGCCAAG